rnacentral:rRNA from 1 species
GAUGAACGCUGGCGGCGUGCCUAAUACAUGCAAGUCGAGCGAACAGACGAGGAGCUUUCUCCUCUUACGUUAGCGGCGGACGGGUGAGUAACACGUGGAUAACCUACCUAUAAGACUGGGAUAACUUCGGGAAACCGGAUCUAAUACCGGAUAAUAUAUUGAACCGCAUGGUUCAAUAGUGAAAGACGGUUUUGCUGUCCCUUAUAGAUGGAUCCGCGCCGCAUUAGCUAGUUGGUAAGGUAACGGCUUACCAAGGCAACGAUGCGUAGCCGACCUGAGAGGGUGAUCGGCCACACUGGAACUGAGACACGGUCCAGACUCCUACGGGAGGCAGCAGUAGGGAAUCUUCCGCAAUGGGCGAAAGCCUGACGGAGCAACGCCGCGUGAGUGAUGAAGGUCUUCGGAUCGUAAAACUCUGUUAUUAGGGAAGAACAAAUGUGUAAGUAACUAUGCACGUCUUGACGGUACCUAAUCAGAAAGCCACGGCUAACUACGUG